rnacentral:misc_RNA from 1 species
GAUGAAGAACGUAGCGAAAUGCGAUAAGUAAUGUGAAUUGCAGAAUUCAGUGAAUCAUCGAAUCUUUGAACGCACAUUGCGCCCGCCAGUAUUCUGGCGGGCAUGCCUGUUCGAGCGUCAUUACAACCCUCAGGCCCCCGGGCCUGGCGUUGGGGAUCGGCGGAAGCCCCCUGCGGGCACAACGCCGUCCCCCAAAUACAGUGGCGGUCCCGCCGCAGCUUUCAUUGCGUAGUAGCUAACACCUCGCAACUGGAGAGCGGCGCGGCCACGCCGUAAAACACCCAACUUCUGAAUGUUGACCUCGAAUCAGGUAGGAAUACCCGCUGAACUUAAGCAUAUCAAUAAGCGGAGGA